CACGCGGGCCAUAACGUAGGCGGGUUUUACUGGACCCAUCAGACAACCUGUGCAAGACGUGAGGACGAGCGAAAUGCGCCGCCUGGAGUGAAGGUGGCGCUUCGAGUCUCAGGGGACGUGGCCUGCUGGGCAGCAUCCAAAGCGUCUGGCCUCCGUCUCUUCAGUGCAGAUGGAAGUUCAGCACGUCCAGGAGUGUGACCGCUGCCAUCUCCCUGGUGUACGUGCAUCGCAGUGAACCUAAAUUGGCAAUCGGUCAAGAAGAAACAAAUGUUUGCAUUCACUCAGUGACGAGUAUCCUGUGUAAGCUCACCAUCUGUCGGAGCCACACAUGGACACGCAGAGUCCCAGGCUGGCAGGAGAAGUGGUCGUGGUCGCUGGGACAGCCCUCCAAAAUGGGUGAGGUGACCUUUCAGACUCUGGGGAGGUGAAGGGUUCCUCACAUCACAGCAGCACGCGGGCCAUAACGUAGGCGGGUUUUACUGGACCCAUCAGACAACCUGUGCAAGACGUGAGGACGAGUGAAAUGCGCCGCCUGGAAUGGAGGUUGUGUUGGCUUCUGGGGCUUCUGUCCCCAGGAGAUAUUCAGGCCAGUGGGGUGGGGGCUAAGGGGCAGGUUAUUUGGGGCAGAUGUGCCUUGCUUCCGAGGAGACCCUGUGUUUGAGCAGGAAGGCGGGGGCUGCAGUUGGAUCUGGCACCUGGGCCCACGUUGGUCCCCACGGUGGUUGGGUUGAGGGGAGCACAGGGCUGGCCGGCUGGAGUCUGCAGCCCCUCAACUGCCUUUUGACAGCCUGUACCCAGGACCCGGGGCACCUGGGCACAGCCAGAGUCCCAGGGCCCAGGCAGAUGCUUAUAGGAAAGGACUGGA